ACUGUUGACAGCCAUCGACUCAAAGCACAGAAUGAAAUAGAGCGUAACAACGUUUGGUUUGUUGUCUAAAUUCGUGUACAUAAUUUUUAUUAUUUUAUACAAACAAUAUAAAAACGGAAGACAAAAAAUUAAUGCAGCUAUGACAAUGACUAGUCGAAAAGGUUUUGCUCGUGGUUUGGAAGCCGAAAAAAUUCUAGGUGCAACUGUUAAAAGGGGCGAAUUGGAGUUCCUGAUAAAAUGGAAGGGCAUCGAAGAGGCAGAUUUGGUACCAUCGAAAGAAGCCAAUGAAAAAUGUCCACAAAUCGUGAUCAAGUUUUACGAAGAACGAUUGAGUUUCAAUCAAACCGAUUCACAAUGAAAAAUAUAUUAUUAUCAUCAUUGUCACAUUUAAAUUAAGCAAACGUUAAGCAUGUAAUAACAUAAGAUAAGAAUUAUAGACUUAGUUAAACCAAAACCAAAUGUUAACGAGAUAAUAAUGUGUGCAUCACCGUGAAAUUCAGGGAAAUGUUGAAAUAUUGAUGAUUUGAAAUGAAUACUGUGAUGAGUUCAAAUGAUUAUACAAUGCUACCGAAAAGCAGUCAAAGUUCAAAGUUGAUAAGAAAUAAAAGUGGCACUGUUUGUUUCGUCAAUCUCAAUAUUUUUAAUAAAUGAUUCAUAUUCAAUUACAAAUAAAAUGGAGUAGAAUACAUCCACAGAAUGGA